UUUUUUUCUUCAUAGCAGGUGUGUUACCAGAAAGGGGUCCCAAUCUAGACCCUAAGAGAGGGUUUUGGAUCUUGCACAAGAAAAGAAUUCAGGACAAAUCUACCGAGUAAAGUGAAAGCAAGUUUAUUAAGAAAGUAAAGGAAUAAAAGAAAGCCUACUCCAUAGACAGAGCAUGGUGUUCCCAGAAGGAAGAGAAGGAACACAUCCACCUUAAACAGAGCAUGGUGUUCCCAGAAGGAAGAGAAGGAACACAUCCACCUUAAACAGAGCAUGGUGUUCCCAGAAGGAAGAGAAGGAACACAUCCACCUUAGACAGAGCAUGGUGUUCCCAGAAGGAAAAGAAGGAACACAUCCACCUUAGACAGAGCAUGGUGUUCCCAGAAGGAAAAGAAGGAACACAUCCACCUUAGCCCAGCAGCUCUCAGCCUCAUCUGACCCAGCCCCUAUUCAAGAUGGAGACGCCCUGGUUCAGACGCCUCUGACAGAUGCUCCAAGAUGAUGUGAAGUGUCUCAAUAUCAAGUUGCAAUAGAAGCUUGCUGUUAGUGGAUCUGCACUUUAAAAUGGUACUUAAUAUGAAUACAUAAUCAGAAGGGAUUUUUUUACUUGUUUUGUGAAAAUGAACUGCAAGUCAACUAAGAUAUUUAAAACAAGGAAAAAGAAAGUCUUCUUCUACAGUGCCUCCAGGCAGAUACAAGUGCCCUUCUUGUCUCAUGGACUCAAUCAGGAGAUAUGAAGAUUGACAACUGAUUGGCAAAAGUGAAGUCACUGUGUGACCUGUCCUGAAAAGAUGGUGGCUGCAUCUAGAAACAGUGACGUGUUUGGGGAACAAUGGAGUAGAGUCAGAGACGCACCUACUAAGACAUUUUGGCUGCUGGGCACCUGAACAUGAGCAAUGUGAAGCUUCCGGUGCGUGUUUCCAUAGAGAGUUUUCUGAUAAUGUGUCAGUUAUUUUUAGCCACAAAACACUAUAAGACAACUGAGCAUGCUUUUCAGUGGCUAACAACUAUAAGCAUUAAUUUUGCUCAUGCACUAAGGGAUGACUGAGCCCUUCUGCUGGCCUGGGCCACGCCUAACUGAUUGCAGCUGGGCUAGCUCUUGCAUCAGCUGGUGGAUUGGCCUGGGGCAGGCUGGCCUGGGGUAGCUUUGGUUGGGAUGAUUUUUUUCUGCUCUGUGGUCUUUCAUCUUGUGAUAGGCUAGUCUCGGCUUUUCCUACAGUGGAGGCAGGGGUCUGAGGGAAGAAGUGGAAACACUUGAGGCCUGGGAGGCCUACUCUGAUAAUAAGCCAAGUCACCUCUGCUGCAUUCUAUUGGUUAGAGCAAGCCACAGCUCAGCCCAGACACAAGAGUUGGGCAACACCCUCUACUUCUUGAUGAGAGGAGCUAACAUGUAACUUUGCAAAUGGAAUAAAUAUAGAAAAAGGUGAAAAUUCAGGGCCAUUUUUGCAAUCAGUCCAUUACAGAUGGUUUAUUAUUGAGAAACAUCUAUACAUCCAUAUCCAUAUAAAAUUACAUAUCUGUAUCUAUUUUUGAUGUUAUAGUUGACCCCUGAUCCAGAGAAGAAAGGGAUAGAGUGUAAUAAUCUCUGCUUUCUGGUGGAUCUCCUGUUGUUGAGUAAAAGGGAAUAUGAUCAGGAAAUCACAAAUAUCAAAAGAAUGGAAUGGAUAACUGACAAAUGAUUUAUAUUCCAUAUGCGUAUGUCACAUUUAAUAAAACAAAAUUAUGGCUGAGCACAGUGGCUCACACCUAUAAUCUUAGCACUUUGGAGGCCGAGGAGGGCGGAUCACAAGGUCAAGUUUAAGACCAGCCUGAACGACAUGGUGAAACCCCGUCUCUACUAAAAAUACAAAAAUUAGCUGGGCAUGGUGGUGCAUACCUGUAAUCCUAGCUAUUCAGGAGGCUGAGGCAGGAGAAUCGCUUGAACCCAGGAGGCAGAGGUUGCAGUGAGCUAAGAUCGUGCCACUGCACUCCAGCCUGGGUGACAGAGUGAGACUCCAUCUCAAACAAACAAACAAACAAACACCCCACAAAACUACAUAAUAGGAAAAUGUACUUGAUAAUAUUAAACUUUUAAGCAGUCCUUUAGAAAUGGCUGAGAAAAGUGAUUAGGAAAAGGGUGAAAACCUCCAACACUUAGGGAAAAUCCUGUAGCUAUCAGCGGCAGAAAGCAAUCCUUAAUUUUCCGUAUGUCCCAGAGGGAAUGAGAAAGUCAACUGGACUGAGGCUGU
rnacentral:lncRNA from 10 species